rnacentral:rRNA from 1 species
UACGGGGGGGGCAAGCGUUGUUCGGAAUUACUGGGCGUAAAGGGCUCGUAGGCGGCCCUCUCAGUCGGAUGUGAAAUCCCCAGGCUUAACCUGGGAACGGCAUCCGAUACUGGAGGGCUUGAAUUCGGGAGAGGGAUGCAGAAUUCCAGGUGUAGCGGUGAAAUGCGUAGAUAUCUGGAGGAAUGCCGGUGGCGAAGGCGGCAUCCUGGACCGAGAUUGACGCUGAGGAGCGAAAGCUAGGGGAGCAAACGGG